GGACUAAUCCAAGCUCCUCAGAGCAGACGGCGUCUCAAGCUCCCUGCGUUGAGGAACGGAGCUCCCCUGCAGAGAGCUGCAGCCGUGGAAUAAUUGACUCUAGCUCUGCCGCAGAAAGAACACCCUGAGAAGUUUAAAUCAUUAGCCUUUCCACUGGCCCCAUGGUCAACAACUGAUGGGAAGAUGUGUCCUCGUCUGAUCCUUGGGGUCACAAGCAUCACCCAGCUGCCAGACGCUGGGUAUCAUGAGGGCUUUCUUACCUAUCGACACACAGAUGGAGAGCCGACAGCAUCCUAAAAGCCCGCCACUAUGCCAAAGCCAAUAUAACGGGGAUUGUAUGCAAGCUGCCCCUUCGGGGAAGAUGAACCCAGACAAGCAAUUUGAGGACUCUACGUUGCCCCACUUCCCCUCACCUUCCCAAGAAAAGAUCAAUAAAGUAUCAUUUGGCACUGGCUAAUUCUUUCAACCCAUCAGGUUGAAACUGGCCUGUCCUUUUAUAAAUGAGCUGCUCCCUUGACCGUAUUGUGAGAAACAGAGGGAGGCUUGAGUCAAUGGGAAUUUAGUGAAAUCCUGCAGACGCA
ensembl:lncRNA